CGGAGGAUCCAAGCGUUAUCCGGAAUCAUUGGGUUUAAAGGGUCCGUGGGCGGUUUGGUAAGUCAGUGGUGAAAGCCCAUCGCUUAACGAUGGAACGGCCAUUGAUACUGCCAGACUUGAAUUACUGGGAAGUAACUAGAAUAUGUAGUGUAGCGGUGAAAUGCUUAGAUAUUACAUGGAAUACCAAUUGCGAAGGCAGGUUACUACCGGUGUAUUGACGCUGAUGGACGAAAGCGUGGGGAGCGAACAGGAUUAGAUACCCUGGUAGUCCACGCCGUAAACGAUGGAUACUAGCUGUUGGGAGUAAUCUCAGUGGCUAAGCGAAAGUGAUAAGUAUCCCACCUGGGGAGUACGAACGCAAGUUUG
rnacentral:rRNA from 1 species